CCUACGGGAGGCAGCAGUGGGGAAUUUUGGACAAUGGGCGCAAGCCUGAUCCAGCAAUGCCGCGUGCAGGAUGAAGGCCUUCGGGUUGUAAACUGCUUUUGUACGGAGCGAAACGGUCUACUCUAAUACAGUGGACUAAUGACGGUACCGUAAGAAUAAGCACCGGCUAACUACGUGCCAGCAGCCGCGGUAAUACGUAGGGUGCGAGCGUUAAUCGGAAUUACUGGGCGUAAAGCGUGCGCAGGCGGUUAUAUAAGACAGAUGUGAAAUCCCCGGGCUCAACCUGGGACCUGCAUUUGUGACUGUAUAGCUAGAGUGCGGCAGAGGGGGAUGGAAUUCCGCGUGUAGCAGUGAAAUGCGUAGAUAUGCGGAGGAACACCGAUGGCGAAGGCAAUCCCCCUGGGGCCUGCACUGACGCUCAUGCACGAAACGACGGUGGGGAGGACGAAACGAAGGAAGUUAGUAUACCCGUACGGUACGGUACCGACCGACCCGUAAACCGAACUGUCAACUAGGUUGGUUUGGGUUCGUUCUACUGACUC
rnacentral:rRNA from 1 species